rnacentral:rRNA from 1 species
UACGAAGGGGGCUAGCGUUGCUCGGAAUCACUGGGCGUAAAGGGUGCGUAGGCGGGUCUUUAAGUCAGGGGUGAAAUCCUGGAGCUCAACUCCAGAACUGCCUUUGAUACUGAGGAUCUUGAGUACGGGAGAGGUGAGUGGAACUGCGAGUGUAGAGGUGAAAUUCGUAGAUAUUCGCAAGAACACCAGUGGCGAAGGCGGCUCACUGGCCCGUUACUGACGCUGAAGCACGAAAGCGUGGGGAGCAAACAGG